GUCUACAGCCAUGCCACUCUGACUACACUUGAUUCCAUCUGAUCUUGGAAGCUCAGCAGGUCGAGCCUGAUUAGUAUUUGCAUGAGAGACCACCUAGGAAGACUAGGUGCUGUAGGCA
rnacentral:rRNA from 1 species